AACAACUCACCUACCGAAUGAACUAGCCCUGAAAAUGGAUGGCGCUAAAGCGGAUUACCGAUACCAAGCCAUAGAAAGAGAUUUAAGGGUUAUUUGGGUUCGUCCCUAUUAAUCUUUUUUUGAAUCUUUCUAUGAGUAGAAAAUCGUGGGGUUUGUGUAGAAGCAAGAUGCGUGAGCUCUUGUGGAACAUAUCCCUAGUGCAGAUCUUGGUGGAAGUAGCAAUUAUUCAAAUGAGAACUUUGAAGACUGAAGUGGAGAAGGGUUUCUUGCCAACUUUGAUUGUUCAAGAGUUAGCCGCUCCUAAGGGAAAGCUGAAAAGCAUUUAAAUAGGGAUUUGGUGUGGCAAGCAAUUGUUGUGUCUUUUCCCGGUCCCAAAAGGGAAACAGGUUAAUAUUCCUGUGCCUAGGUUAAUGUUAUAUAUGGAAGAUGGUAACAUAAUUUGGAAUGAACUUCUUAACGCAGGUUUUACGAUCGAAAUGCGUUAUCUUUGCAUUUUAACUUAUAGCUAACCUUGGAAUCAAUUUAAUUGGAGAAAAGGUUUGCUGAAUUGCAAUUCAUGAGGUUUUUAAGUGGCGGAAUAAUUUAUUAUUCCACAUUUAAAAAAUUAGUGUUUUGUAGUAAAAGUAAUUCAAUAUUAUGGAUUAUUCGAUAUGUAAGAACUGCCCGUGAAAAGGGAAGGGAACAGCUAUAUGUAGUGGGCAUGUUGUGAUGUUUUCAUGAGAGUUAUAUAUAAAGAAUAAAGUUAUUUGUUAAGCGAUAACUUUAUUCUUUAUAUAUAAUUUCUCUUGAAAGUGUCACAAUAAUGUUACAUUAUGAUAGCAUAGAUAACGAUGCCAUUUAGAGCGUACCCACAACCGCAUCAGGUCUCCUAGGUUAACAGCCUCUGGUUAAAUAGAAAAAAGUAAGUAAGGGAAGUCGGCAAAAUAGAUCCGUAACUUCGGGAAAAGGAUUGGCUCUGAGGGCAUAGAGUAAAGAAGCUAAAGUUAACGUUUGAAAUAAGACAUUAUGAAUGCUUAUGGUUCGCUAUAUGUAUUUAUAUUAUCCGUUUUUCUUAUGUUUUUUUAUCUAACCUUUAUUCGCGACCAUAUAAAAACUCUCCAUCAUGCCUCUUUCGCAUGGGUUGUAGUUUUAAUAUGGUAUAUAAAUGCCAACUCAGAACUGAAACGGACAAAGGGAAUCCGACUGUUUAAUUAAAACAUAGCUUUGUGAAAAGCCAGAAAUGGUAUUAACACAAAGUGAUUUCUGCCCAGUGCUUUGAAUGUCAAAUUGAUGAAAUUCAAUCAAGCGCAGGUAAACGGCGGGAGUAACUAUGACUCUCUUAAGGUAGCCAAAUGCCUCGUCAUCUAAUUAGUGACGCGCAUGAAUGGAUUAACGAGAUUCCCACUGUCCCUACUUGCUAUCUAGCGAAACCACAGCCAAGGGAACGGGCUUGGCCAAAUCAGCGGGGAAAGAAGACCCUGUUGAGCUUUACUCUAGUCUGGCUUUGUGAAACGACUUAAGAGGUGUAGUAUAAGUGGGAGCAGAACGUAUACAGUUUCGCGGCAAUGAAAUACCACUACUUUUAAUGUUGUUUUACUUAUCUACUUAUAGGGAUUAAUACAGGAUGCCGAGAAUUUCGGUUCUUGCGCUUGUAUAUAUCAGCUAAUAUGAGCAUUGUAUGACAACUGCAAGGUUGUCUGUCAUCCUAUGGAGUGUAGAGACAUAGUCAGAUGGGGAGUUUGACUGGGGCGGUACAUCUGUUAAACAAUAACGCAGAUGUCCAAAGACAAGCUCAAAGAGAACAGAAAUCUCUUGUAGACUAAAAGGGGAAAAGCUUGUUUGAUUUCUAUUUUCAGA
rnacentral:rRNA from 1 species